UGCGCCAAACCCCCCUCUUUCUCUACAAACCCCGCCUCCUUUUGUAGAUAUUUGAGUGAUUUGCUAUCCCGUCACUCAAAUCACUAAUCUCUCAUUUUUUCUCUCUUGUUUCAGGCCAUCUCCAAUCAAGCCCUCCUCCAAUUCUAUCUCUGAUCCCAUCCUCCCCUAUUUACAGUCAAUUAGCAGUGAAUUGGGCGAAUUCGAGAGAAACUCAGGUGGGCCGGAUCAAAAGCUUAAGGCCCUUUUGGAGGAUUGCGUUCAGAGUUCAUGAUCCUGUGCAUGUGAAGCGGAAGGGUCGACCAAAAGAAAAACGACAGCAAUCUUUAGGGGGGAAAAUUGUCAAAGCCAAGAGAAAGAAGAUACAGGAGGAUCAAGUUCAAAGAGCUCAGAGUCCCGCAGAUAAGUAGAAGUGCAUGUUUAGCAUUAACAAAGGAAAAUUUUCUUUGCUUAUAUUCUCUCUUUGCAGAUUUGAUGAAAUUUAUUGAAUCUUUUUGGACUAGUUAAUCCAUAACAUUUUCUUAUACAUUUAUUUAUUUAUUUAUUUAUAUUUGUAGAAGUUUGCAACAUGGAGAGUUAAACAUGCUCCGAGUUGUCGAAACUGAAAAGCUUGUUCAAAAUCAAAUGGAGAGUCCUCAUUUUGUUUGCGUGGUACUAUUGGUUUAGAAGUUGGAAUUUUAACGUAUGAAAUCUCUAGAGCACUUGCAAGAGUUUUCUAUCAUGUAAAAGCGACCUUUUGAAUAGUUAUUAAAACAUUUAUCUCUUUUCUCUUCUUAUUUUUUCAGAUAUAGUUCAUUGAUCCAACCUGUUAAAAAAUCUUGUGCAAUGCUCUCUAUAGUCAUUCAUUCAUUUAAUUUAUAGGUAAAGAUACAAUAAAAUCAAGAGAUAAUAAAAUAUUCAUAGUUUGAGUUAUAAUUUCUUUGUUUUUCAUGAAGAAGUGAAUUAGUCCAAUACAUAAUUUUAACUGAAUAAUAAAACUAUUUUCACUUUCUACAAUAAAGGUAUUUCAUACUUGAUUGCAGACAAUCUAUAAUACUCCGAAGGGGAGUAAGUGUAAGUUCAGUGCAUUCAUUGCAUCACAAACACUGUGUUCAACUAUGCUUCUACCCUAUAAUUCUUUUGGUGACUGCAGAAUUGAUGUUUCGCUCUUUUCUAUUCAAUGUGAGAGAACUAUCAAUUAUAAAUCUCUUGUUCGUAAGAGAUUUUAUCGCUCCAUUGUUCGUAAGAUAUUUCUAUUCAGGUUUCCUACAUGAAUCCUCUUGUUUUCGUUCAACUAUAGUAAGGGCCAUCUUGUAUUUUUCAUGUACUAAACUAGUGCCAGUUAGUUAAUACCAUGUCUUUCCCUUUCGUUUAGCUAUGCAGCACUCAGGUGAAAAUGUAGCACUCAUUUCAAACUGAGAUAGUGCUGGUCUUUCCUAACCUAAAUAUGCAUAUGAUGAGCAUAGUUAUCAUGAUUGCCAAAAACUAGUCUGGAGAUUCAUGGGCUUAGACCAGCUUGGCAACUUCUCACCUUUAUACUGUAUAUACUCUUAUUUUGAGUGGUAAUCUUUUCAGGUUAGAGGAGGUACUCUCGUAGGGAGCAGCAGUACGAUACGACGUUCUAAUGCAAACGACGCUGAUAACAAGGAUGUUGACAAUGACGAUGAUGAGGAGUGAGUGAGACUUGUUUUUAUAUUUAUGUAGUUAUAGAUUGUGUUAAGACAUGUUGUGAGUUUUGAAUUCUACCUAUAUGUAAUAUAUUUGUUAUUUUAUUGUAUAGUGAAUGAAUAUUGUUUGAGCA